rnacentral:rRNA from 1 species
UACGUAGGGUGCAAGCGUUAAUCGGAAUUACUGGGCGUAAAGCGUGCGCAGGCGGUUCGCUAAGGCCGAUGUGAAAUCCCCGGGCUUAACCUGGGAACUGCAUUGGUGACUGGCGGGCUAGAGUAUGGCAGAGGGGGGUAGAAUUCCACGUGUAGCAGUGAAAUGCGUAGAGAUGUGGAGGAAUACCGAUGGCGAAGGCAGCCCCCUGGGCCAAUACUGACGCUCAUGCACGAAAGCGUGGGGAGCAAACAGG